UAGAGUUUGAUCCUGGCUCAGAACGAACGCUGGCGGCGCGUCUUAAGCAUGCAAGUCGGGCGUGAUCGGUAGCUUGCUACCGUGAAAGCGGCGGACUGGUGAGUAACACGUAGAUGACGCACCCACUGGACGGGGAUAGCCUGUAGAAAUACAGGGUAAUACCGGAUGUGAUGGCCCCUUCUCGAAGGGGGUCAGGAAAGGAGCCACGGCUCCGCCAGUGGAACGGUCUGCGGCCCAUCAGCUAGUUGGCGGGGUAAGGGCCCACCAAGGCAGUGACGGGUAUCCGGCCUUAGAGGGUGAACGGACACAUUGGGACUGAGAUACGGCCCAGACUCCUACGGGAGGCAGCAGCUAAGAAUAUUCCGCAAUGGGCGAAAGCCUGACGGAGCGACGCCGCGUGGAUGAUGAAGGCCGGAAGGUUGUAAAGUCCUUUUAUGACAGAGGAAUAACCGGGGCAGGGAAUGGCACCGGGGUGACUGUAGGUCAUGAAUAAGCACCGGCUAAUUACGUGCCAGCAGCCGCGGUAACACGUAAGGUGCGAGCGUUGUUCGGAAUUAUUGGGCGUAAAGGGCAUGUAGGCGGACCUGCAAGCUUGGAGUGAAAUCCACGGGCUCAACCCGUGAACUGCUCCGGGAACUGCAGGACUCGAAUCGCUGAGCGGGAGCCGGAAUUCCAGGUGUAGGGGUGAAAUCUGUAGAUAUCUGGAAGAACACCAAUGGCGAAGGCAGGCUUCUAGCAGACGAUUGACGCUGAGGUGCGAAAGGUGCGGGGAGCAAACAGGAUUAGAUACCCUGGUAGUCCGCACAGUAAACGAUGCACACUAGAUGUCCGGGCAUGAGCCUGGGUGUCAAGCAAACGCGAUAAGUGUGCCGCCUGGGGAGUAUGCCCGCAAGGGUGAACUCAAAGGAAUUGA
rnacentral:rRNA from 1 species